UACAGAGGUCCCAAGCGUUGUUCGGAUUCAUUGGGCGUAAAGGGUGCGUAGGUGGCGUCGUAAGUCGGGUGUGAAAUCUCGGAGCUUAACUCCGAAACUGCAUUCGAUACUGCCGUGCUUGAGGACUGGAGAGGAGACUGGAAUUUACGGUGUAGCGGUGAAAUGCGUAGAUAUCGUAAGGAAGACCAGUGGCGAAGGCGGGUCUCUGGACAGUUCCUGACGCUGAGGCACGAAGGUCAGGGGAGCAAACGGG
rnacentral:rRNA from 1 species